rnacentral:rRNA from 1 species
UACGGGGGGGGCAAGCGUUGUUCGGAAUUACUGGGCGUAAAGGGCUCGUAGGUGGCCAACUAAGUCAGACGUGAAAUCCCUCGGCUUAACCGGGGAACUGCGUCUGAUACUGGAAGGCUUGAAUCCGGGAGAGGGAUGCGGAAUUCCAGGUGUAGCGGUGAAAUGCGUAGAUAUCAGGAAGAACACCCGUGGCGAAGGCGGUUCUCUGGGACGGUACUGACGCUGAGACGCGAAAGCGUGGGGAGCGAACAGG